UACGAAGGGUGCAAGCGUUACUCGGAAUUACUGGGCGUAAAGCGUGCGUAGGCGGUUUGUUAAGUCCGUUGUGAAAGCCCUGGGCUCAACCUGGGAAUUGCAGUGGAUACUGGCGAGCUAGAGUGCGGUAGAGGAUGGUGGAAUUCCCGGUGUAGCGGUGAAAUGCGUAGAGAUCGGGAGGAACACCCGUGGCGAAGGCGACACGCUGGGCCGUACCUGACACUGAUGCGCGACAGCAUGGGGAGCAAACAGG
rnacentral:rRNA from 1 species